rnacentral:lncRNA from 1 species
UGGUAAUUCAGUUAUUUCAUAAUCCAGAUUGACAAUAUAAUGGGUGAAAUUUUGUCCAUUUCUCAAACAGGUUGUUUUUAUACUGUUCUAUCCUUCCAGGUUUCAACAUAUUAGUUUCAAAGCUACUCAAAUAUUUAUGUGUUUAUAUUAUUAAGCAAUUUGAUCGAAAAAUGCUUCAACUUAUCCGAUUGAACUUGCAACCUAGAAUAGAAUAACAAAGUGUCUAUGCUUCAUUAAUUUCUUUUUCAUAAGAAAUCUGAUAGACCAAUGCCCAACAUCUCACAUCUGAACAAACACCAUGAUAGAACAUAGAGCAUCUAGAAAUGAAAUUGUAAAGUCGAAACAAGGGGUUUCAUUGAUUGAU